AGUGAACGCUGGCGGCGUGCUUAACACAUGCAAGUCGAACGAGAACGGAAUAUAGCUUGCUAAAUUUGUCAGCUAAGUGGCGCACGGGUGAGUAAUGUAUAGAUAACCUGCCCUUAAGAAAGGAAUAACAGUUGGAAACGACUGCUAAUGCCCUAUAUGCCUUUAAUACAUAAGUAUGCAAGGGAAACGCUUUAGUGCUUAAGGAUGGGUCUGUAUGGUAUCAGCUUGUUGGUGAGGUAAUGGCUCACCAAGGCUAUGACGCCUAACUGGUUUGAGAGGAUGAUCAGUCACACUGGAACUGGGACACGGUCCAGACUCCUACGGGAGGCAGCAGUGGGGAAUAUUGCACAAUGGACGAAAGUCUGAUGCAGCAACGCCGCGUGGAGGAUGAUACAUUUCGGUGCGUAAACUCCUUUUAUAUAGGAAGAUAAUGACGGUACUGUAAGAAUAAGCACCGGCUAACUACGUGCCAGCCGCCGCGGUAA
rnacentral:rRNA from 1 species